rnacentral:piRNA from 1 species
UAAAAAUUGGUACAUAUGGGUUUUCAGCUGC